AAACCAUUAUGUGGACAGUCUCUUACCAGCCUCUUAAACCUCGCCCAAGCAUCGUUGAGUGAUUCGUCAAUGUCCUGUUCAAAAUUGGUUAUUAACUUUCUUCUUUU